rnacentral:rRNA from 1 species
GGAAGGUGUUGUGGUUAAUAACCACAGCAAUUGACGUUACCCGCAGAAGAAGCACCGGCUAACUCCGUGCCAGCAGCCGCGGUAAUACGGAGGGUGCAAGCGUUAAUCGGAAUUACUGGGCGUAAAGCGCACGCAGGCGGUCUGUCAAGUCGGAUGUGAAAUCCCCGGGCUCAACCUGGGAACUGCAUUCGAAACUGGCAGGCUAGAGUCUUGUAGAGGGGGGUAGAAUUCCAGGUGUAGCGGUGAAAUGCGUAGAGAUCUGGAGGAAUACCGGUGGCGAAGG